rnacentral:lncRNA from 1 species
AUUUAACUCUUAAAAUGAUCGUGUGCUGUGCACAGCGCCAGAUGUAAACAGUACCAGACACGCGUUAGGAUGCUCACUAUCAUCCGAGGUAAAGGAUGGAGUAUAAAAGCGGAAGAGAGUGGUGAUCGUUACCGCUGCUUCUGUGGUGAGGUUUCUGUUUGUAGCCCAGGCUGGCCUGGAAAUCAAGAUUCUCUUGCCUUAGCUGCUGCAUAUUAGAAAUAUAGUAUAGACUUGAGCCACCAUACCCAGGAAGACUUUAUUACCCAGAGCCUCAUGCGUGCUGAACCCUGUGCCUCUCUCUACCACCAAGCCAUAGUACAGCAGGCGAGGUUCUUAGUCCCCUGGUGGAAGUGAUCAUAAUUCGUAGGAAUCAUUUCUUCUUUUGGAUUAUUUACAGCAUAUUUGCCAUCACACUCCCUCUUUUCUUCUGAACACUUCCCCUGGCUAGGUUUGCAGAGAAAGAAAGCUGGGCCCAGAGAUAAGCAUUUCUGAGGUCAUCUGGUCGCUAGCAGAGCCUGGGAUUUGGAGCCUGCACUGUGUAAACUCGGGGCUGGCUGGCAUUCUACGCACGCUUUUCUUUCUCCCACUGCCAGAAAUGUUAUUCAUAAAUUCCAAAAUACGACCUUCGAGAUUGUCGAGUUCAACUCCCUACCCUGUAGAGCAGCUCGCCCCCUCCUAUCUCCCUUCACGUUCUCCUUGAGCCUGAGUAGAUCGGGAGUUUUGACCCGUGUGCCCUCAGGCAGUUUGUUUGGUUAGAGAGCUGGAGGUCACUACAUUCUCUAAUAUUCUGGCUUCUCCUGGUUCCAGGCCAGGCAUUCCUGGUCCCUGGCUCUGCUCCUUAAGUAGAAGCUGGGAAAAUGGACAGGGUGAUAGGUACCCUGCUUCCAGCCCUGAGCCGGGCAGGACCAGCCUGUCAGGUGCCAUCCUCGCUGGCUGGGGAGGAACGGCUGUCUCCUGGGGCAACUUGGUGCCAGGCAGAGUUAUACUCAAGAGAUGCAGUGGAAAUUCCCAGCCACCACUGGCUCGUUCUUCGUGGGUGCAAAUUCCUCUCCAUCCUUCUCGUUUCUUUGCUGAUUGGCAGAUGUUCCCCCACUUCCCCUGGAGCCAGAAGUAAAAAUGCCUUCUGGCUCCCAACAUCUCUUCACUUGCUCUACCAACAUCAUUGUCUGCAUUGUUGCCUUAACGACGGCAAGUUCAUUUGUUUGGCUCUUAAUGUGUUUGAAACACUAUGCAAAAACGAUCUAUAGGCCGUAGCUUUCUUCGUUGGCUCACAAGAGCCUUGUGGAUACAGAUGAUUAACACCCAAGAGUAAGGGAGGAUGCUGGGGCACAUAGGGGAUGAAGGGAGCUGUACAAGGUCACACAGAGAGCAAGUGGCAGAUUCAGAGCUUCUCCCAAGAUGGGGUCCAGAGCCAGCACACUAAACACUCUGAGGAUUCUGUGCUCCCUGCUGCCUCCCCUCCUCGGCCUGUGCUUCUCCCGAGCCAACUCGUGUGAGAUUCGGCCAGAAACGGAAAGUCUGCUUUUCCCACAAACAUCUCCAGUAAGGUUACUUCCUGGAGCUAGUCUUGCAUCCAGUCCCGGGCUCUUUUCUCACAGACCCCUUCUUAGAGGGAAGGGCUCUCUGGUCUUUGCCAUUUCCAGCACAGGUUCAGAGGUGUAAGUGGAGCAGAGUUUCAAACUAGAAUGAGCCUUGGUCUGUGGCCAUCCCUUGUGUUCAGAGAUUUCUUACAAGUGACCCUCCAGCCUUGGUCUGAGUCACUGUGUCUCCUUUGAGGAACCCAUAUGCUGUUCUUCCUCUAGGUCUGGAAGGGGUUUAGGGUGUUGGAAGAGGUUGGAAUCGAGUCUCCAUCAACAGAAAUCCCACCCCCAUCCCCUCAGGCUUGGAAGAGGAGCAUGAGAGGACAGGGCGAGGGAGACUCCAAGAGAACAGGCUUCUCCUGUCUAUACCUGUGUGUGUGCUUAGCUAGAGGCAGCCAGUUGGGACAUCGAGUAUAUAGUUCUGUGUGUCUCAGACAGACAGCUCUCUCGGGAGUCCAGCUCUCCUGCCGUCCUUGGGAAAGUUCUGCUACAGGCUCCCACCCUGAAGAGAGGCUGUCCCUUGCAGGGCAUGGUGCUGGACCUGGAGAGGCGCUGGGAAUUCUGUGAGGCCUGGGUCCAGCCGGCCACAUGUUGUGUCUGGAAUAGUGCUACUGUCCUAAGGGGGGAAGGCCUGUGGGGGCAAGGCUGACUUUUUAUAACUCUGUGGGAAUCUUCAGGCUGGCCGGGGCCUGAGAGCACAGCUAUAUUUGGUCAGAUGGCAAGGCCCCUGCCUCAGCCUCUGGAGUUCAAGGAGGCCAGCCUGGGCAUGGAGCCAGGGAAAGAGGGCGGGUAGGAAAGGAAAAGUGCUGGAAGACUGCCCAAGUAGGCCAUCAUGAACAGGUGGAGCCUGGGCACAGGUGGGGCUUGUCUGACCCACUGAUGCUUUUUAAACCAGAUUUGGCAUCGGUUGGCAGGUGUGUACUGAGUAGUGCGGCCCAUUUAGAGCGAGCACACUGCGUCCAUUUUGUCCCCUCCCCCCUCCCACCACUCACCUGCCUUAUUGGUCAGCAAUGACACCAGUGUAUGAGCUCCAGUUAGGGGACUUGCGGAAGCUGUUUGUUCUCUGUGUCGCCCCAACUCUGCACCGCUCUUCCGGUGGGGGAGGGGGAGGGGUGUAUCCAGCUAGGGCAGGGCCUGAGUCUAUCAGAAGGCUGGGAGACAGGAUGUAGGUACCAGGGUUGAGUUGGAACACUGUGGGGUGGGGGUGGGGGACAUUUAGGGAAAGGAUAUGGUUCCGUGUGACACUCCUGAAUUAGGAUGCCUCUCCCUCUGCGUCAUGCUCAGGAGUGUGUGAUUCUCUGUGCAUACGUGUGUGUGUGUGUGUGUGUGUGUGUGUGUGUGUGUUUGCGCGUGCGCACAGCCUAUCUCAAGAAUCACAUCUAGCUCUCCACGGGACACUUCAGUCAAGGAUUGGCAUCUCCAUCCGUUGGAUGAAUUACAUAUUCAACCCUGUCCGUGUCAAAGCGCUCAGAACGUCAUCACGUGACUCUCAAGGAUCUUCUAGAAUCAACAGCCAGGCUGGGGCUGGGAGGGCCCAGGUGGACAGGGAGGUGACACCUCACCUCUCUCUUAUUUGCUUGGUGCCGGCUGAAGAUGCGCCAGGAGGAGAAGACCAGCUACAUGGCGGUGCAGACAAGCGAGGACGGGCUGGCGGAUGGCGGCGAGCUCCAUGGACCACUCAUGAUGCUGGCCCAGAACUGUGCGGUCAUGCACAACCUGCUGGGUCCCGCCUGCAUUUUUCUCCGAAAGGGUUUUGCUGAGAACAGACAACCUGUACGUAAGUUGACGCGGUGCAGCCGGCCGAACCUGGCUUCACGUGGCGUGGCAUGGCGUGGCGUGGCGUGGCGUGAGGAGGUGCUGGGAAGAAAGGGGGUUUUGUAACCUAGCAACCCCAACUCUCAACCCCCCCCACACACACACACACACACAACUUGUGAAUCUGAUUCUUGAAGUUUCUUGUGGCUCCAAAGUGAGUCUGUAUCAGCUAGCAGGAAAUGAUUAAAGCAGGGGACUGGAGAGAUGGUUUAAUGGUUAAGGGCACUGGCUGUUCCUGUAAAGGACCUGGGUUUGCCUCCUAGCACACACUUGGUGGCUAACAACCAUCUGUGACUCCAGUCUGGGCAGGGAGCCGAUGCCCUCUUUUGACCUCUAUGGGUACCAGGCGGGGGUGGGGUACCAGGCGGGGGUGGGGGUGGGGUGGGGGAGGGUGAUCCGAUGUCUCUUUUGACCUCCUUGGCGAUCAGGCAUGCAUGCCAUACACAUAUAUUCAUGCAGACAAAACAUUCAUACACAUACAAAAUAAAAUAAAUCUUUUUUAAAAAAGUUUUUAAAAUG